UAAUAAGAAGCAAUAUUGCAAUCAGUUUCGACCUGAGAGAAAGGUGAAACAUCACCCUUAUUUA
rnacentral:tRNA from 1 species